ACCCUACUGCUAUCGGGGUGGGACUAAGACAUGCGAGUCGUGCGUCUCUAGGCCAUGGUAGAGACGCGGCAUACGGCUCAGUAACACGUGGCUAACCUACCCUUAGGACGGGAAUACCCCCGGGAAACCACGCGCAGGCACGUAAUCCUUUCUCGACACGCUCAAAGCAUGGCUAUGUACGCAUAGUUCACGUAGAACCGCUUUCCUUGACGGAAAACCUAACCUGAGAAGCUUUGAGCCAACCAUUCACGAUAACACAUCACCGCCAACAGAAACAACAGGAGCUCUGGCGUGGCCCAAAACUGGGGUUAAUACCCGAUGGGCGAAGAGGCCUGGAACAGUUCCUCGCUGAAAGGACGUUGGAACCAUGCUUUUCAACGUCGCCUAAGGAUGGGGCCGCGGCCGAUCAGGUUGUUGGUGAGGUAACGGCUCACCAAGCCUAUAACCGGUACGGGCCGUGAGAGCGGGAGCCCGGAGAUGGGCACUGAGACAAGGGCCCAGGCCCUACGGGGCGCAGCAGUCGCGAAAACUCCGCAAUGCGCGAAAGCGUGACGGGGCUACCCCGAGUGCCGUCCGCUGAGGAUGGCUUUUCCCCGGUGUAAUGAGCCGGGGGAAUAAGGAGAGGGCAAGUCUGGUGUCAGCCGCCGCGGUAAUACCAGCUCUCCGAGUGGUAGGGACGAUUAUUGGGCUUAAAGCGUCCGUAGCCGGCUCGGCAAGUCUCCCGUUAAAUCCAGCGACCUAAUCGUUGGGCUGCGGGAGAUACUGUCGGGCUAGGAGGCGGGAGAGGCCGACGGUAUUCUCGGGGUAGGGGUGAAAUCCUAUAAUCCCGGGAGGACCACCAGUGGCGAAGGCUGUCGGCUAGAACGCGCUCGACGGUGAGGGACGAAGGCUGGGGGAGCGAACCGGAUUAGAUACCCGGGUAGUCCCAGCCGUAAACGAUGCGGGCUAGGUGUUGGGGUGGCUACGAGCCACUUCAGUGCCGCAGGGAAGCCAUUAAGCCCGCCGCCUGGGGAGUACGGCCGCAAGGCUGAAACUUAAAGGAAUUGGCGGGGGAGCACCACAAGGCGUGAAGCUUGCGGUUCAAUUGGAGUCAACGCCGGGAACCUUACCGGGGGCGACAGCAGAAUGAAGGCCAGAUUGAAGGUCUUGCUGGACGAGCUGAGAGGAGGUGCAUGGCCGUCGCCAGUUCGUGCCGUGAGGUGUCCUGUUAAGUCAGGCAACGAUCGAGACCCGCACCCUUAGUUGCGACCUGGUACGGAUUACCGUUCAGGGCACACUAGGGGAACUGCCGUCGACAAGACGGAGGAAGGAGCGGGCUACGGCAGGUCAGUAUGCCCCGAAUCCCCCGGGCCACACGCGAGCUGCAAUGGCAGGSACAAUGGGUUCCCACCUCGAAAGGGGGAGGCAAUCCCUAAACCCUGCCUCAGUUGGGAUCGAGGGCUGCAACCCGCCCUCGUGAACAUGGAAUGCCUAGUAAUCGCGUGUCAUCAUCGCGCGGUGAAUACGUCCCCGCUCC
rnacentral:rRNA from 1 species